rnacentral:rRNA from 1 species
UACAGAGGUCUCAAGCGUUGUUCGGAUUCAUUGGGCGUAAAGGGUGCGUAGGCGGCGCGGUAAGUCGGGUGUGAAAUCUCGGGGCUUAACUCCGAAACUGCAUUCGAUACUGCCGUGCUUGAGGACUGGAGAGGAGACUGGAAUUUACGGUGUAGCGGUGAAAUGCGUAGAUAUCGUAAGGAAGACCAGUGGCGAAGGCAGCUUGCUGGGCUUCUUCUGACACUGAGGUACGAAAGCGUGGGGAGCGAACAGG